rnacentral:rRNA from 1 species
CUUGAUGAUCAUAGAGACGUUGAACCACCUGAUCCCAUCCCGAACUCAGAAGUGAAAAGCGUCAUCGCCGAUGGUAGUGUGGGGGAUCCCAUGUGAGAGUAGGUCGUUAUCAAGAUUUAAACACUAAGAAGCCCUGAUCAGCUAAGCUGGUCAGGGCUUCUUUAUGCCUAAAAUAAAGAGGAAAGCAUAAUCCUCCACACCGUGUGGGGCUCUUAUGAAGAAACGCAUGUGAGAGUAGGUCGUUAUCAAGCUUAUAAAUACUAAGAAGCCCUGAUCAGCUAAGCUGGUCAGGGUUUUUUUAUGCCUAAAAUAAAGAGGAAAGCAUAAUCCUCCACACCGUGUGGGGCUCUUAUGAAGGAACGCAUGUGAGAGUAGGUCGUCGUCAAGCUUAUAAAUACUAAGAAGCCCUGAUCAGCUAAGCUGGUCAGGGUUUUUUUAUGCCUAAAAUAAAGAGGAAAGCAUAAUCCUCCACACCGUGUGGGGCUCUUAUGAAGAAACGCAUGUGAGAGUAGGUCGUUAUCAAGAUUUAAACACUAAGAAGCCCUGAUCAGCUAAGCUGGUCAGGGUUUUUUUAUGCCCGCUCUUUUAUCUAGGACAGGCAUAGAUAAACUCCAGCUAUGAUGUGCCUCACAGCCUUUUUGAGAUACCGAGGUGGCCUGGGGUAGAUUGGAUAAGCUUGUGUCAUCAGAUACACUCCUUUAUCUAGGACAGGCAUAGAUAAACCCCAGUAAUGGUGCGGCUUAUCGUGUGGUUAAGCCUAUUUUCCGUAUCUCAUCUAUACUUAAUCUUUGUUUUCUCAAGGAAGAGGAACGGGAUUAUGCCCAUGCCCAGAAGUCAGCAGGUUUGCUUAGACGAUACCCCUUAUUAUC